rnacentral:rRNA from 1 species
AUUGAACGCUGGCGGCAUGCUUUACACAUGCAAGUCGAACGGCAGCGCGGUCUUCGGCCUGGCGGCGCGUGGCGAACGGGUGUGUAAUACAUCGGAAUGUGCCCAGUAGUGGGGGAUAGCUCCGCGAAAGCACGAUUAAUAACGCAUACGACCUGCUCGUGAUAGCUGGGGAUCUUCGGACCUCGCGCUAUUGGAGCGACCGAUGGCCGUUUAGCUAGUUGGUGGGGUAAAGACCUACCAAGGCGACUAUCUGUAGCUGGUCUGAUCGGAAGACCGGCCACACGGGAACGGGAACACGCCCCAUACUCCUACGGGAGGCAGCAGAGGGGAAUUUUGGACAAUGGUGGAAGGCCUUGCCCAACAAGCCCACGUGUGUGAUGAAGACGUCGGGGUUGUAAAGCACUUUUUGCGGGAACGAAAAGUACUGGGCCGAUACCACGGGUCGGUGACGGUACCCGAAAAAGAAGCACCGGCUAACUACGUG